rnacentral:lncRNA from 1 species
AUCAAAUGCAGUUUCAAACUUUAAAAAAAGGGUUAACAUUUUGGACAGCUAUGAAGACAAAGAUUAUUCAGUCUUAAACCCGGAUGCGUUGAUUUGUAGGUCAUGUGACGAGUUAGAAAAAAAUGGCAAAUUGAAUAUGAAAUCAGGCUAUGAAUUGAUGCUAGAUAUCGAUAUAUCCAUUUCAGAGAACGCGAACUUAAUAGAUGCUACGUCGAAGAAUAUCAAAAGUUUUAAAAAUUUGCAGUUUGAAGGUAUUCCAACAUCAAGGC